rnacentral:rRNA from 1 species
AGCUAACCUUCCCUUAGGUCAGGCAUACCCUCGGGAAACUGAGGUUAAAACCUGAUAUUGGAUAUACCCUGGAAAGAUUUAUCCAUCAAAUUCGAGCCUAAGGAUGGGGCUGCGGCGGAUUAGGUUGUUGGCGGGGUAAUAGCCCACCAAGCCAAAGAUCCGUAAGGGCUCUUAGCGGAGAGGCCCUGAGAGGGAAUCUGAGACACUAUUCCCAGCCCUACGGGGUGCAGCAGCUAGGAAUAAUCUACAAUGCACGAAAGUGUGAUAGUUUGAGCCAGAGUGUCUUGCAAUCGCAAGACUUUUGUGGAAUCUAAAAAGUUCUACGAAUAAGGACUGGGUAAGACGAGUGCCAGCCGCCGCGGUAAUACUCGCGGUCCAAGUCGCAGCCAUUUUUAUUGGGUCUAAAACAUCCGUAGCUUGCUCUAUAAGUUUCUUGUGAAAUCCUAUGUCUAAAGCAUAGGGCGGGCAAGAAGUACUGUUGAGCUAGAGACUGGAAGACGUAAGAAGUACGUUUAAAGUAGCAGUAAAAUGUUCUAAUCUUAAGCGGACUCACAAUAGCGAAGGCAUCUUACGAGGACAGUUCUGACAGUGAGGGAUGAAGGCUAGGGGCGCGAAAGGGAUUAGAUACCCCUGUAGUCCUAGCAGUAAACACUGCACACUAAACAUUAGUACCUCCUCGAGAGGUAUUAGUGCUGUAGGGAAGCCGAAGAGUGUGCUACCUGGGAAGUAUAGUCGCAAGGCCGAAACUUAA